CCUGUAGCUCAGUAGGAUAGAGCAACGGCCUUCUAAGCCGUGUGUCGGGGGUUCGAAUCCC
rnacentral:tRNA from 1 species